UGGGGAAUAUUGGACAAUGGGCGAAAGCCUGAUCCAGCAAUGCCGCGUGUGUGAAGAAGGCCUGCGGGUUGUAAAACUCUUUCGUCGGGGACGAUAAUGACGGUACCCGAAGAAGAAGCUCCGGCUAACUUCGUGCCAGCAGCCGCGGUAAUACGAAGGGAGCUAGCGUUGUUCGGAAUCACUGGGCGUAAAGCGCACGUAGGCGGAUAGUUAAGUCAGGGGUGAAAUCCUGGGGCUCAACCCCAGAACUGCCUUUGAUACUGGCUGUCUCGAGGUCGAGAGAGGUUGGUGGAAUUCCUAGUGUAGAGGUGAAAUUCGUAGAUAUUAGGAAGAACACCAGUGGCGAAGGCGGCCAACUGGCUCGAUACUGACGCUGAGGUGCGAAAGCGUGGGGAGCAAACAGGAUUAGAUACCCAAGUAGUCCCUGAGCGGGC
rnacentral:rRNA from 1 species